rnacentral:tRNA from 1 species
CGGGGCGUAGCGCAGUCUGGUUAGCGCACUUGACUGGGGGUCAAGGGGUCGGAGGUUCGAAUCCUCUCGCCCCGACCA